rnacentral:lncRNA from 10 species
CACAAAUAAAUGUCCCUGAGUUUCGAGACAAGCCAGCCAUUAAAAUCUUUUAGGGGGAUCCAGAGAAGAUGAGUUAAAUUGGAAUGGACUUGAAAAAACUGAUUUAGUUGGAUUUAUGGAUCACAGUCAUGAAAAGGUAAAGAUACCAACUUGUUUUGUGAAUUUAAUCUUUAUUCCUUACUUUUUUGCCCCUACUGUUUGUAAUUCCUACUUUAUAAUGAAAUCCUUCUUGUGACUUAUAGAAAUUAACUGGGGAAAAUGUUUUUCUGUUCUCCAUUUCCUUUAAGUUUGUUUUUAGAUACACUGCAUUGCAAGUAUGUGUGGUACAGUAAAAUGUUGCUAAUUGUAUCUGCGCUGAUAAGAUGCCAUUUGCUCUAGGUCAGUUUCCUACCCCCUCCCCCAACUAUUCCUAGCCAGUGGUAGCAUGCUUCUUACUUCCAAAUAUAUGUGUGUGUGUGUGUGUGUGUGUGUGUGUGUGUGUGCCUGUGUGUAUCAACAAUGUGAUCCUAAAAUAAAAGAAUGACAUAUAUUUGACAUUAUUUACAUACUAAAUAUGGGAGCACAUAAAUCAAUUACAGAAUAAAAUCAAUUUUUCAAGGA